CAAAAAAAGGAGAAAUAAACAGGACACUCGCCCUCAGCUGGGUUGCCACCACAACAAUAAGCUGUCAUUAACUGCAUUGCACAUCACAUGGUUGUGCUCUGUAAAUUAAAAAUAAUGUUACAGCUUUAUUGUUGACCAUGUAACUUUACAGUAUUGUUUAGUUAACUUUACGCAGGGUUUGAAACUCAACAGGGUUUGUUGACUUACAGUAGUUUAUAAGCUGUCAUUAAUUGUAGAUGCAUUGUACAUUAGGCUACAUGGUUGUGCUCUGUAAGUUAAAAACAGACAGACUUAUUGUUAUGUCAUUACGCAACGUCACAGGUUUAUUGACUUACAUUAUCCAAUAAGCUGUCAUUAAUUGCAUUGCACAUGACAUGGUUGUGAUCUGUAAAUGAAAAACAGGUUAACAGUAUUCCUUAGAGCUAUGAAGUUUUAUUAGCAACCUGGAUUGAAUGCAGCAGGUGAUAAAACAUUCGUAAUAACCACGAGAGACUUGAGACCUGACUUGGACUCUAGCUCAAAGACUUGUGAGCAUCUCUGUCAAAACAUUGCCUUCAAUACAGUUUUAUUAGGAGUUGUUGAGACGGUGUGCAGAGCUUUGUCCUUUGUGUCCUGCAGUGAUAGUUUUUGUCUGUCACUCGAUUACUUUUGACUGGAUGUGCACACUUAGCCCCUCUGGAGGUUUUAUACCAAUAACAACCAUACAAAUAAUUGAAAACAUUUUGUAUAGAACCUUUUCACACAAAAAAUGUAGCUCAGAUCAAAUCACAGAUCACAAUUAUGUGAAAAGUAGUAAAACUUGUCAACAUAGAGUGUGUAAGAUUCUUAAUGCUAUUUAAUGCAGUGAAGGCUGCAUGUUUGCUAGUUGGCUUGCUACUGUUUAUUGUCAACAGCACUCUUUUUCAUGCACAGACAGACACAACAACAUACUAAGACACACUGUGAGGACAACAUUUACAGAGUUUUUGUUUUCUUUUAAUCACAAGGAGAAGGAGUUGAGGAGGACUCUUCAACUGAUGAGGUUCAUCCAGUAAGGUCAUGAAAGACGGGAAAUCCAGAGACCUGGAACGUUAACAUCCAGAAAAGUAGGAGAAUGAGGGGCCUGGAUUGAAGAAGGUGAGACAAAUGGGGACACCAUGCCAGUCCGCAACCUGCCAAAGGUUCCCUAAACUCCACUGCAGAAAAGCAGAAGACGCAUCAUAAGAACAAGAUUUCUAAGUAUUUCUAGGGGAAUUUGGACUGGAGAAAUGAUUGUGAAGUCUGCGGUGGAGGGGUGCAGUGUAAAGCGGCGCUGGACAGGAGCAGAUGAAUCCAGGAGGUGUAAAGGAGUGGUGUUUUUUGAAGUGGGCAGGAAGAAGAGGAGAAAGUCAUGAGAUGAUUGAGGACAGGAACAGAAGGAAAAGGUUCUUUAUUGUCACAUACACAUGGUGAAAUUCAUUCUCUGCAUUUAACACUCAUUGCCUCAAGAACCUAAUCUAAAAUGUUUUUCAUGGUGUGGAAAACUGGAGUGCCCACACAGGAAGGAGGAAACCCACACAGACACAGGGAGAACAUGCAUUCUCCACACAGAAAGGCCUGGGAUGACGGGUACGACAAUGAGACCUUCUUGCUGUGAGGCCACAGUGCUUUCCGUAGGCCUUCCAUAAGAUCUUUCUUCUGGACCCUUGGAAAUUUCUAUCGCACUUCUAAAGACCAGUGCGAUGGCUAUUGUUCAUUCAAGCCUGGAAACAGAAGCUGCUUCAUGGGACACAAAGGCUGUGAAGAAGGACAAAGAAGAUGCAGAUGAGAAGACCUUGGUGGCGCUCACUCCAAUUCCUCCGUGUGAGAUGACUGGGAAGACUCCAAUCAAUUGUCUCUCACAAAUAGUCUGACAGAUUCUUUAUCCUGGUUGUUCAUAAUUAUUAUAUAAUUAUAAUAAUUUAAUAUAAUUUGUGAUGAACUUUUGAAUGUUGUGUGAGUUACAGUAAAAUUAAUUUUAACCUUUA